AAGAAGGUACUUAGACACAUUAUAGCAAAAGUGCAGAAAUCAGAGGCAAAGACAUUUUUAAGACAGCCAGUGAGAAAGGAAAGAUAACCACAAACAAGUGAUAAUUAGACUGACAGCUGACAUAGCAGUAACAAUGGAAGUGAGAAAAUAGUUAAGAAUGUAUCUCCAAGAUGCUGAGAUAAGAUAGCUGUCAAGCUAGAUACCCUUAGCAGAACUACUUCUCAAGAUCAAAGGCAAAAAUACAUUUUCAGAUGAACACUGAGGAACUUGACCACCAAACUCUUACUGAUGGAAAUUCUAAAUGCUGUACUAUAAAGGAGGAAAGGAAAAAAAAAAAAAAAAGAUUCCAGAAGAUUGGUUUGAAAUACAAGAAAGAAGGAGAAGCACCAGUGAUGUGCACACACAGUGAGAAGCUGGCCAUCUGCAAGCCAAGGAGGGAGACCUCAGAAGAAACCAAACCUGAUGGCACCUUGAUCUUGGACUUCGAACCCCAGAACUGUCCAGCAGCGGAGAAAGGAAGAAGCUCCUAACCUGUCCUAGUUGUGGUCGGACUUUGGAUUUUUCCCUUCUUGGAUUUCUCCUGGAAAUAGCUUCCUUUACUUGCUGGAUAUCCAGAUGUCCCCCUACCCCAUGGGGCUUUCCUUCCUCUUCUGGUUCUCCACUGGUUGCCCAGCCUCUCCGACCUCACAGGAGUUAAGGCAGCAAAAAGCCUUGAGGGUUGAACAAUUCACUGGACACGGCAGUGGUCAAGGUUGACGUCCAGAGUUUACAUUUCUGUGCUCUGGAGACAAACAAACAAGAAAACCAUCAGGGAGUAACGUGCUGAGAAUUAAGAUGGAGAGAUGAGAUCGCCAUUGAUCAGAGACAGCUUUGGAUUGGGUGGCCUUUGGUGCCGCUCUUGGGAUCAGGGAGCAACGGACAAUUUAUGAUUGACAACACUAUUAAUCAGCUGUGAAAGCACCAGAGUUCUUCCAUCUCGGCUCUCAGUGACAAAGGAGUAAAUAAGUUUGCUUAUCUAUAGCAGACAGAGGGUGUAACCACACCUGGUUAGAAAAUGAAUAAAAAGUGCUCCCAGAUCUCAUUUCCUUUAAAGAGGAUUUGUAGCCUUCUUAUCAAGCCUUUGAUAAGGAAAAGGGAUGUUUUGAAAGGUUGUUACCUAGGAACACAAAACCAGAAGG